rnacentral:rRNA from 1 species
GAUGAACGCUGGCGGCGUGCCUAAUACAUGCAAGUCGAGCGAACAGAUGAGAAGCUUGCUUCUCUGAUGUUAGCGGCGGACGGGUGAGUAACACGUGGGUAACCUACCUAUAAGACUGGGAUAACUCCGGGAAACCGGGGCUAAUACCGGAUAAUAUUUUGAACCGCAUGGUUCAAUAGUGAAAGACGGUUUCGGCUGGCACUAAUAGAUGGACCCGCGCCGUAUUAGCUAGUUGGUAAGGUAACGGCUUACCAAGGCGACGAUACGUAGCCGACCUGAGAGGGUGAUCGGCCACACUGGAACUGAGACACGGUCCAGACUCCUACGGGAGGCAGCAGUAGGGAAUCUUCCGCAAUGGGCGAAAGCCUGACGGAGCAACGCCGCGUGAGUGAUGAAGGUCUUCGGAUCGUAAAACUCUGUUGUUAGGGAAGAACAAAUUUGUUAGUAACUGAACAAGUCUUGACGGUACCUAACCAGAAAGCCACGGCUAACUACGUGCCAGCAGCCGCCGUAA